AUUGAACGCUGGCGGCAGGCCUAACACAUGCAAGUCGAGCGAGCGGCGGACGGGUGAGUAAUGUCUGGGAAUCUGCCCGAUGGAGGGGGAUAACUACUGGAAACGGUAGCUAAUACCGCAUACCAUCAGAUGUACCCAUAUGGGAUUAGCUAGUAGGUGGGGUAAAGGCUCACCUAGGCGAAGAUCCCUAGCUGGUCUGAGAGGAUGACCAGCCACACUGGGACUGAGACACGGCCCAGACUCCUACGGGAGGCAGCAGUGGGGAAUAGUGCACAAUGGGCGAAAUCCUGAUGCAGCCAUGCCGCGUGUAGGAAGAAGGCCUUAGGGUUGUAAAGCACUUUCAGCGAGGAGGCGUUACUCGCAGAAGAAGCACCGGCUAACUCCGUGCCAGCAGCCGCGGUAAUAC
rnacentral:rRNA from 1 species